UUGGUAGGAUCUUGUAAGUGGUGUCAUCUAAUCUUUAUGUUCCACCUUGCAGACAAUCUUGGUGCCCUUUGUCCAUGCCACAGACAUGAUGACAAUCUUGGUGCCCAUCGUCCAUGCCACAGACAACCCAACCAAACGAACAUUGAGAAGAAGGUAGAAGAAGGUAACACGGGAUGCACAGAGGUAGAAGAAGCUAACAUGGGAAGCACAGAGGUAGAAGAAGAUAACAUGGGAAGCACAGCCAUCACCUUCAUCCUUCUCUUCCUCAUCACUCUGCUGUUCGCCAUUGGAACCACUGCUUUCAAGGUUAAAUGAAACGAGGUGAACUUUCUGUAAAAAAAAAGAAAAGGGGGGGGGGGUUUCACAUUUCUUUCUUAUAAACUCAUGGUACCAUGUAAGUUAUCGCAACUGUCCUUUAUCAUUUUUCUUAAAAGAGCUUUGUGUGUUUUUGAAAAAUAAAUAUUUCAUUAAAGAUAACCAUUGACGUUGCUCUUGACAUUUUUUCGUAACCUACCCAGCACCUGGAAUCAACACCCCAUGUUAAACUCAUUAUGUAAAUGUCUAAAUGUAAAUUUAUUUUUACAGUCAGUAAGUUCUCAAGUCUAUUAUUAAUGGAAUUGAGAACUAAAACCUUUAUCAAAGUCAUGAGAAGUCAUGUAAAAUCUAUGUGAAAACUGAUAUGAGAUAUUUAAAUGUGCACAUUGUUUCUUUUACUGGCAUAACCACACCUCACACCUGGUGUCUGUCAUGCACCGUUGCUCUUGGCAGUGUUUCACUUCUGUAUUUUGGUACUUUUUUGGGACCUGGGUGUUACUCAAUGCUUCCGCUUGCUGCUUGCCCUGAUCACUCUGCCCUGUCAUUCUGCAACAUCUGUGCAACAGACUUCAAGCCUCGUCUCCACCUGACUGUAAGACACCAGACCAUGUAAAAGUACAACUCUGCCACCUAGCCUUAUAUGAAUAUAAUACACUUAGAUAUGAAAAAACGCAGUUGGUAACUUGACUAAAAAGGUAUGUAUAUCUUAAAAGACUAAAUCAUCUUAUAUUUGAAAAUUGUCCACAUCUAACUUUUAGAAUGAAGCAAGUAAUGGAUAUUUUCUCUAUCUCAGUACAGCGGAUUGUCCCUCCAAAUAUCACACUACACCCUUUGUGGGAAGGUGAAUUUGGGACCUCACCAGUCAGACUCAUCUGCACCCUAAGUGGCUACUUUCCUGACGGACUGAAAGUGGAGUGGAAGCAGGACAACCAACAUCUAACUAAUGUGGGUAUCCAGAAGCAGUUGCAGAGUGUGGAAAGAGUGGAGGAAACCUUCAGUUUAAGCAGCGAGAUUGUGCCGAAUAUCAAAGAGUGGGCAGGUGGCUCAAUUUAUACAUGCAAGUCCGUUCAAAAAAAUACGGAAUUUAUAAAAACAACAAGUAUUUGUCAACUCCAUGCAAGUGCCCCUCCCCCCAUCCAUGUGGAGAUCCCCAGCUUCAAGACUGUAAUGAUGGCAGGAUCCACGGUGAAAGCUACAUGUGUGGUCCACACUAUGUUUAAAGCCAAGGUGACCUGGCUGAUGGGUGAUGAAGUGACAGAAAGCAGCUCAGUGCAGAGUAACACAACUCAUAUUUUCAGUGAAGUGACGCUGACCUCAAGUCUAUGGAAAAAACUUGGCUUUCUGACAUGUAAAGCUGAACAUAAGUGCUUCUCAUCCACUGAGAAGACUGUGAAUGUUGCAGGGCCUGCAGUUACAGCUCCAUUGGUUAGCAUCAGGAGAUCUCUAAAGGAUUUUCUGGAAGGAGAAAAGGCUGUGCUGAAGUGUGACAUCACAAAGCUCUCAUCCCAUGACCUGUACGUCACUUUUCAGAGCGACGGUCUUGACAUUUCUGUCCCACAUUAUGUCGAUCUUCCUCAAGCCCCAGGCCUCCAUUCAAUCAGUACAAGUUUCUCUGUCCUUCAACGUUACUGGAAUGAAAAUGCAAAGUUCACCUGCAAAGUUCACCAAGGCUUCUCCAACAGCUUUGAAUCAAACUCCAUUGGCAGUAUUUUUGUAGAGCCAUCAGUGGAACUUCUUCUGGCCCUCAGUGAAGAAUCAGGAACCCAGAGACUCUCGUGUUCUGGAUCGGGCUUCGACCCACAAAUCAAAUGGUCUCCUGAGUCUCAGCAAAGCUCUCCAUCAACUAAUGAAAUGAGCAUGGAUGCAGGUGGACGUGUGGCGGUAACCAGUCAACUUCAGAUCCCUCCAUCAGAGUGGAGCACAGGGAAGGUCUUCACUUGUGAAGUUUAUGACAAGUUUCUGGAAAAAACUGUGAGAAAGAACAUCAGCAUCUGCUCAGUAACUCCAGCAUCAUCUACGACAGUUGGUGUGUAUGUUCAGGGACCACCACUCCAGGAGCUUAUGAAUAAGACGCGGGUGAAUAUCACCUGUCUUCUGGUCGGCCCGUCUCUUAGUGAUUUCUCUGUCAAUUGGAAAGUAGGUGGCAGGAAUUCCCUGAAUGCCCUUAACGAGCCACCAGUGAGUCACAGCAAUGGGACAGAGACUUUGUGGAGCUCCCUGAUUGUGUCGGUGGAGGAUUGGCAUGCAUAUAAACAUGUGUCUUGUGAGGCAAAGCACCGAUGUUCCAACAAGGGCUACGUGGAUCAUAUUAGCAAAAGCAGAGACAUGGACCAACCAACAGUGAAGAUAAUACAACCGACUACCUCUGAACUGUCUACAUCAGAAGUCAACGCACUAAUUUGCGAAGUUUCUGGAUUUUUCCCGGCCAACAUCAUAGUGAACUGGGAAGAGAAUGACCAGCGACUCCCCUCUACUCGUUACACCAACAGUCCUGCAUGGAAGUACUCCGGGAGCAGCACUUAUUCAAUGAGCAGCAGACUUUCAAAAACUGACGACGACAAUGAGUCUGCGUAUGCUUGUGUUGUUACGCAUGAGUCAUCUGAAAAGCCUUUUAAAAGCACUAUGAAGGAUGUUUUCGCCACAGUGACAUACAGCAAACCUUCGGCCACCAUUCUCCAGGGCUCUGGUGAACUUGUUUGCUUGGUCUUUGGCUACAGUCCAGCUUCCAUAAACAUCACUUGGUUCCUCGAUGACACCAGUGAACUGUUGCACUACAACACUAGUGAACCCCACAGAGGCCCAAAGGGAACGUUCAGCAUCCAAAGCCACCUUAGUCUGUCUCAAGUCAUCUGGUUACCUGGGGUCAGAAUCACCUGCAGGGUCACGCAUGCAAACACCAGCAUAUCCCUGAAUUCAUCAAAACCAGACAACUUGGAGGACUGUAAUUUUCUAGAUGACAUCCUGGAUGCAGAUGUGAACCAAGAAACCGGUGUUGAAGGCUGGUAUUUGGCUUUCACUUUUCUCCCGUGUUUCCUCAUCUCCUUCAUCUAUGGUGUCUUUGCUACCAUGAUUAAGACUAAAUGAUGAUACCAUUUUAUGAUCCAAAUGUGGACUUUUGAGGAUUUUUAAUGGCAUGUGGCAUACAAUGUUAAAGUGUCAUGGAUUUUCAUUUUUAAAUAUCUGUGGUUAGAAAACUGUUUUAUACUAUAUUCUUUUUUGUCUGUAUACGUUUCAUUCUCUAUUUGGUGUGGACACAUUAUUGCAUUUUUAAAAUAAACAAUAACAUUUGAAAAAAAAA